UUCAAAUUUUAUAUGCAGAAUUCCAGUGUUAAGUAAUCAAAGUGUUUGAAAUCAAAAUAAGUCGACUCAAAUAUACUUUAUUGAUAUCACAUUAUUUAAUCUUGGACUCAACUGUUAAACAGUAGAAGAUUUGAACGAGUUUACACUAAGAAUGGAUAAUAAAACUUUUGCACAACAGUUUGCCAACUCUAAUGUGUUGGCGGAAAGUUACAAAAAUAUAUUAAAGAUUUAAUUCAAAGAUAAUGUUGCUAAUCGAUUUACAGUGAAUAAUCUUUCGAAAGCAGAAAAACUCAGUGUCAAACAAAGCAUACGCUAAUUAUUCGAGAUAUGGUCGAAAUUUGCAAAGAAAGUAAAACUCAAUCUA